rnacentral:rRNA from 1 species
GACUAGAGUUUGAUCCUGGCUCAGAAUGAACGCUGGCGGCAGGCCUAACACAUGCAAGUCGAGCGAAGUCUUCGGACUUAGCGGCGGACGGGUGAGUAACGCGUGGGAACAUGCCCAAAGGUACGGAAUAGCCCCGGGAAACUGGGAGUAAUACCGUAUGUGCCCUUCGGGGGAAAGAUUUAUCGCCUUUGGAUUGGCCCGCGUUGGAUUAGGUAGUUGGUGGGGUAAUGGCCUACCAAGCCGACGAUCCAUAGCUGGUUUGAGAGGAUGAUCAGCCACACUGGGACUGAGACACGGCCCAGACUCCUACGGGAGGCAGCAGUGGGGAAUUUUGGACAAUGGGGGAAACCCUGAUCCAGCCAUCCCGCGUGUAUGAUGAAGGCCUUCGGGUUGUAAAG